CCUACGGGAGGCAGCAGUGAGGAAUAUUGGUCAAUGGUCGGGAGACUGAACCAGCCAAGCCGCGUGAGGGAGGAAGGUACAGAGUAUCGUAAACCUCUUUUGUCAGGGAACAAAGACUGGUACCCGUCCCCGGAUGCGUGUACCUGAAGAAAAAGCAUCGGCUAACUCCGUGCCAGCAGCCGCGGUAAUACGGAGGAUGCGAGCGUUAUCCGGAUUUAUGGGGUUUAAAGGGUGCGCAGGGGGACUGUUAAGUCAGCGGUCAAGCCCCGGGGCCCAACCCCGGCCCGCCGUUGACACUGGCAGGCUCGAGUUGGAGAGAAGCAGGCGGAAUGCGCGGUGUAGCGGUGAAAUGCAUAGAUAUCGCGCAGAACUCCGAUUGCGAAGGCAGCAUGCCGGCUCCACACUGACGCUGAGGCACGAAAGCGUGGGUAUCGAACAGGAUUAGAUACCCGAGUAGUC
rnacentral:rRNA from 1 species